ACACAGAUUCUGCACUCACCUUCUUCUGGCACCUCCUCUUCCUUUUCGUUCAUUGCAGCAGAGUGUGUCAACACACACUAAUGUGGAACAGUUUUGAGGAAUCAUGGAAGGAGAAGCACACAUAAAUAAUUUAAUCCUUUGCGGUUCGUCAGUCUGAGGAGGUGCAGACGAGAUGUUCAAAUUUCCAUGACAACCAGAGAGAGGAUGGGGUUGUAAACAUGAGCACCUGUAAACACAGCCGCUGGUUUUUUUUUUCUAUGCUCUGAUCACCUUUUAGUCUGGUGCUGCACCAAACGCUGGAAGCUAACCGCUGCAAAACAAAAAGAAGAAGAAGAAGUGUGGUGCUGCCUAGCCUGGAUCCCAGUGGCGCAGACACCGAGCAGACAGCUCGUCUUUGGCUUUGCUCAGAGAACGGGGAGAAAGCAACUCAUCAGGAGGAACAAGGUGUCUUGAUGUUGGAGCUGACAGUUCCUGAUCAAUGGUUUGCAGCUCAACUAGUCUGUUUGCCCUACUGUUCACUAACCCCAACCAGUCGAAGCAGAUGUUCUCCACCUCUGAGCAGGCAUUAUUUCAUGAAUGUUUAUGUGUAAAUGUAACCACUGGGAAAGCAGGGGUUCCCUUUUUGGUGCAGUAAAUCUCACCGCGUUAGUCCGGCAAGAAUAUGAACAUCGCAGUUCUGGCACCAGUCCUUGAUGUCACGGUCCAUUCCUGACCAGUAACAACGCUUCCGCACCACCUCCGUAGUACGCUGGAUCCCCUGGUGACCAUGGUUCUGGUGCAGCUCCUGCAACACCUCUACCUGCAGACACUCCGGCAAUAACAACUGGAGGACUUCCUCACCUCCAUCUGGCCUCAGCAGCCGACGGUACAGCAGCCCCUCCUUCUGCACAAUGCGGUCCCAUUGCUUCACCAAACCCCUCGCUCGAGGACUCAGCUUCUCUUGCUCAGCAUGACUUGACACUCUCAGUUGGCUCCAGAAGGGCAGGAAGGAUCUAAUGGAAAGGUCUGACCUUUGGAGCCUUCUCAGGUCGACUGGACUGCGGGAUGGAAGAGCGGUAAUGGCGAACUGGGUGGCUGCCUGCCUGCUGCGGAUGCUGGCAGACGUUCUCUGCAAUUGAAUCGGGAACCAGGUAGGUAGCAUGGAGAGGUCGUGAAAUCACCUGGGUUAAAUUAGUGAGUUUAUAUCAUGCUUCGUAGUCCAGCUUCUGUCAGACGGAGAAUGUUUGAAUACUCUGGC
rnacentral:lncRNA from 1 species